GUGUUGAUGGUGUAAUGGUUUGACUUAUAAUUGGUAAUACGACGGUCGUAGGUUCGACUCCUGUUAUCGGCACC
rnacentral:tRNA from 1 species